UACAGAGGGUGCAAGCGUUGUUCGGAAUUACUGGGCGUAAAGCGCGUGUAGGCGGCUUGAUCAGUCAGAUGUGAAAUCCCUCGGCUUAACCGAGGAACUGCAUCUGAUACUGUCAGGCUAGAGUGUCGGAGGGGAUGGCGGAAUUCCUGGUGUAGAGGUGAAAUUCGUAGAUAUCAGGAGGAACACCGAUGGCGAAGGCAGGUCUCUGGGCAUUAACUGACGCUGAGGAGCGAAAGCAUGGGGAGCGAACAGG
rnacentral:rRNA from 1 species